AUUGAACGCUGGCGGCAUGCUUUACACAUGCAAGUCGAACGGUAACAGGUUAAGCUGACGAGUGGCGAACGGGUGAGUAAUGCAUCGGAACGUGCCCGGUCGUGGGGGAUAACGCAGCGAAAGCUGCGCUAAUACCGCAUACGAUCUGAGGAUGAAAGCGGGGGACCGUAAGGCCUCGCGCGAUCGGAGGGGCCGGUGUCAGAUUAGGUAGUCGGUGGGGUAAAGGCUCACCAAGCCGACGAUCUGUAGCUGGUCUGAGAGGACGACCAGCCACACUGGGACUGAGACACGGCCCAGACUCCUACGGGAGGCAGCAGUGGGGAAUUUUGGACAAUGGGCGCAAGCCUGAUCCAGCAAUGCCGCGUGCAGGAAGAAGGCCUUCGGGUUGUAAACUGCUUUUGUACGGAGCGAAAAAGCUCUCUCUAAUACAGGGGGCUCAUGACGGUACCGUAAGAAUAAGCACCGGCUAACUACGUGCCAGCCGCCGCCGUAA
rnacentral:rRNA from 1 species